CUAAAAACUUUAUUACUCCCUUAGGGAAACUGAGGUUCCAGCAGCAUUGUAUAGCAGUACACAGGGUAAGAAGCACACAGAGUAUCAAAAGUGAAAGCAAAAAAACAAUCUGCAAAUACAAAUACCAGAAAUAUCGCUCGCUACUGAUUUUACUGGCUACUACUGUUCUUCUCCUUCCCGUCCUCUGUCUUCCUGUUGCU